rnacentral:lncRNA from 1 species
UCAUGCGUGAAUUAUGAAGCUCAUUUUUGCUUGAGAGAAAGGAAAAAUAUCUCGAGCAACUCACACUAAGUUGCCCUUGAGACAGCGUAGUCAGGAAAGACAGAAUAGAUGCCGCCCAAGAUAUUGCCCACUGGGUUUCUUCUUAAUACACAUGCCAAGACCAAUCCACCAAGGAAUGUCUCCAUGUUUAUCAUUAUGGUGAUAUACACGAGGACUUUCUACAAUUGCUUUUUCCCUGCAGUAAUCUGACUAUUGGAGAUCUCACCAGUUUCUUUGUCAAUGAUGUGGGAGAUGUUUACUUCUAAUGAGACAAGGGACAACAGAGUGGAACAGAGUGUGAAACAAGGCUGCUGAUUCGUGUUUUGGUGCAGAACAUUCGAUGCGCAGGAAUUCUUAAUGAUGUUAAAUAGAAGUUACCUAUUCUUAAAAGGAACAGAAGAAAAGGCAGAGCAUCUGGACACAGAUGUAGAGGUAAUCAAGUUACUGAGAGGACUUUCUAGGAGGGUUGAAAUAUGUCCACAGAGUUUUGGCUUGGGAUUGAAGAGCAAAGAGGAGAAAGGCUGCACUGGGAAUCAUCACUCAGCCUUGGUGAAUUGUUUUGAUUAGAGAGAGAGAGGUCUUUGAGAUGGUUUGCAGUGAGAGCGUCAUGGUUUGUGCAGGCAGGCAGUAUUCUUUUUGUCUUUUUAUUGGGCCAAGGACAUCUACAGAUUUUAUCAAUAGGUGCAUAAAAAUUUGUAGAUGGGGGUGGAACAAAGUUUCAUUCUCUCCAUAGACACAGCACCAAAAUUAUCAAAUUGAACACAUUUCUACUUGAGAAGGCUCAAGAUUUGUCCUUAGCCUGAAUUGUGCAUGUUCUUCCUUUUAAUAUGCAUUUUUUUAAAUGCCAGGGGAAA